GGGUGCCCCCACAUUUGUGUCUGUGGUCACUUUUGUUGCUUGCAUGCUUUUGGGAAUCCCACUUGAAUCUGGGAAGAUCUUAUCUGCACUUGCAACGUUCAGAAUUCUUCAAGAGCCUAUUUAUAGUCUUCCGGAUACAAUUUCAAUGAUAGCACAAACUAAGGUAUCUCUUGAUAGAAUUGCAUCAUUCCUUCGUCUUGAUGACUUGCAGCCAGAUGUUAUAGAGAACAUCCCAAGAGGUAGUUCUGAUACAACAGUUGAGAUAGUCGAUGGGAAUUUCUCUUGGGAUUUAUCUUCCCCUAAUCCAACAUUGAAGGAUAUAAAUUUCAAAGUGAGCCGUGGUACAAGAGUUGCUGUUUGUGGUACCGUUGGCUCGGGCAAGUCGAGCUUACUUUCAUGCAUUCUGGGAGAAGUUCCAAAGAUAUCUGGGACUCUUAAGUUGUGUGGAACCAAGGCCUAUGUUUCUCAGUCACCAUGGAUACAGAGUGGAAAUAUAGAAGAAAACAUAUUGUUUGGUAAACAGAUGGACAAAGAAAGUUAUGACAGGGUUCUAGAAGCAUGUUCGUUAAAGAAGGACCUCGAAGUUCUAUCGUUUGGUGAUCAGACGGUUAUAGGGGAGAGGGGAAUCAAUUUAAGUGGAGGGCAGAAGCAAAGAAUACAAAUUGCACGUGCUGUAUACCAAGAUGCUGAUAUUUAUCUGUUUGAUGAUCCUUUUAGUGCCGUUGAUGCUCAUACAGGAUCCCACCUUUUUAAGGUAUUUCAUUUCUCUAUUCUAGUGUGAUUCCAUAUGUAAUAAACUGAAUCUUCAAAGUUAUUUGCAUCAUCGAACAAUUGACAUAUGCAUCAAUAAUAUUCUUUUGUUUGACACUUCAUUAUUAAUUUAUUUAAUUGACAAUUGCACUACAGGAAUGUUUGCUAGGCCUGUUGAGUUCGAAAACAGUAAUUUAUGUCACUCAUCAAGUGGAGUUCUUGCCGGCUGCUGAUCUUAUAUUGGUAAAAUAUCCACACAGCUUUUUUUAUGAAAUUCCAAUUUACAAUACGUGAUAUUAUCUACUUUGUAUAUGUCCACUCAAAGUCACUCCUUGUCAUCAGGUUAUGAAGGACGGAAGGAUUACUCAAGCUGGAAAGUUCAAUGAUAUUCUUAAUUCCGGAACUGAUUUUGAGGAACUUGUGGGAGCGCAUGAGGAAGCUUUGUCCGUGCUUAAUUCUGUAGAGGAAGGGCCUGCUGAAAAAAUAAGUGUGAGCAAAGAAGAAGGAAAUUCUGCUAGUACUAAUAGGGUUGUCCAAAAAGAAGAAAGCAGACAUGUUCAAAAUAGUAAAACAGAUGAUUUAGGUGAGCCAAAAGGGCAGAUUGUUCAAGAAGAAGAGAGAGAGAAGGGUAGAGUUGGGUUUUCAGUCUACUGGAAGUAUAUCACCACAGCGUACGGUGGAGCUCUAGUGCCUUUUAUAUUGCUUGGACAAAUUCUGUUUCAGAUCCUUCAAAUUGGAAGCAAUUACUGGAUGGCUUGGGCAACUCCCGUGUCUGAGGAUGCGAACCUGCUGUUACAAGCUCUACACUGAUAAUUGUGUACGUUGCUUUGGCUAUUGGAAGUUCUUUAUGUAUUCUCUUCAGAUCCGUGUUUCUUGCAACAGCUGGGUACAAAACAGCAACUAUACUCUUUAGUAAAAUGCACCAUAGCAUUUUCCGUGCUCCAAUGUCUUUCUUUGAUUCGACUCCAGGUGGACGAAUCCUAAACAGAGUAAGUGAAAUAUAUUUGUAAUAUCAUGCCUGAUUGGGUGGUUCAAAGCAAAAUAUAUUUCUAAAAUCAGUAGUUGAAUAAAUGUUGCUACAUAAUUUCUUGCAGGCUUCUACUGACCAAAAUGUAGUGGACAUGAACAUGCCGAAUCAACUUGGGGGCCUUGCAAACUCAAUGAUCCAGCUUUUGGGAAUUAUUGCAGUGAUGUCACAGGUUGCAUGGCAGGUUUUCUUCAUUUUUAUCCCCGUGGUUGCAAUCUGUAUCUGGUAUCAGGUAAUUCUUCUCACUUUGUUCGAAUGCUCCUAUCUUAUACGUUGUACUGAUACGUCAAUUUAUCACUGUCAACUUAUCACAUGAAUUCAACUGUCGAAAAUCCUUCGGUUUUAAUUCUUCGUUGUUCAUGCUCUAUUGAUGCUCUUUCUUCAUGCCUAUACAUGCCCAAACUUGGCUUCCUCUUUGACGGAAAAUUUUACUCCUGUUACAGCCAAGAAUAUACAAGAAUCAUGUUAAAAAAAUGCUCACAAAUUUAUAUUGAUGCAGCAAUACUACAUUCCUGCAGCAAGAGAACUAGCACGAUUGGUUGGAGUAUGCAAAGCUCCAGUGAUACAACAUUUUGCCGAAACAAUUUCAGGGUCAACGACUAUUAGAAGCUUCGACCAGGAAUCAAGAUUCAGGGAUACAAACAUGAAAUUAAACGAUAGUUUUGGUCGGCCUAAUUUCCAUACAGCAGCUGCAAUGGAAUGGCUAUGUUUUCGCUUGGAUAUGUUGUCAUCUAUCACAUUUGGAUUUUCCUUGAUUUUCUUGAUUUCUAUUCCAGCAGGGGUGAUUGAUCCAGGCAAGUGCUAUUCCUCAUUUGUUUUACUGAUUAUUCUUGAAAUAAUUGUUAAGCAAAUCUAUGAAUUCUCUCUAUUCUUAUCUGUUUUGGAUGUUUUACCCUAAAGGCCUUGCGGGAUUGGCUGUCACAUAUGGACUUAAUCUAAACAUGUUACAAGCUUGGUGUAUAUGGAAUCUUUGCAAUGUGGAGAACAGAAUAAUAUCAGUGGAGAGAUUAAUACAGUACACUAAUAUUCCCAGUGAGCCUCCUCUUGUAAUAGAAUCCAAUCAGCCAGAUCGUUCUUGGCCAUCACAUGGAGAAGUUGAUAUACGUGAUCUUCAGGUACUUCCUGUUCUGGUUUAUUUCUUCAUACGAUAUAGGAUCAGUCAUGUUUAUGACUGUUAUUUCAUGUUUAUGUAGGUCCGCUAUGCUCCACACAUGCCACUUGUGUUGCAAGGUCUCACAUGUACCUUUCCUGGGGGACUGAAAACUGGGAUUGUGGGGAGAACUGGCAGUGGCAAAUCAACUCUCAUACAGACCCUUUUCCGAAUUGUGGAUCCUUGUGCCGGCCAGAUUUUGAUAGAUGGUAUUGAUAUCUCUUCAAUUGGACUGCAUGAUUUGAGGUCUAGGCUGAGCAUUAUCCCUCAGGACCCAACCAUGUUUGAAGGGACUGUAAGAAGCAAUCUGGACCCGCUUGAAGUGUACACAGACAAACAAAUUUGGGAGGUGGGUUGAUUUUACAUUGAUGACAGGAAUUUUGUUCCCACUAAACAUAUUUCAGUUCUAAAUUGGUGUCACUCAUUAGCAUGUCUUUUAUUUGUUUUAGGCCCUCGAAAAGUGCCAACUUGGAGAUGAAGUUAGGAAAAAGGAAGGAAAGCUGGAUUCCACAGGUUUGUUCUUAAUUUAGAGGCUAUAUAGAUGCUCUCAAUUUCAUGCUAUGUCAUGGAAAUUAUUUGUGCUUAUGUUUCGAGAAUUGCUGCAGUUAGCGAGAACGGAGAGAACUGGAGUAUGGGUCAGAGACAGUUGGUCUGCCUUGGCCGUGUGCUCCUGAAGAAAAGUAAGGUUUUGGUGCUUGAUGAAGCUACCGCAUCGGUUGAUACGGCUACAGAUAAUCUGAUCCAGCAGACCCUUCGACAACACUUUACUGACUGCACAGUCAUUACUAUUGCGCAUCGUAUAACUUCUGUUCUUGACAGUGACAUGGUUCUGCUUCUAAGUCACGGUUAGUAUUGCCAUAUGAAUCCAUCCAACGUUCCUAAUGAUCCCCUUUGUUUUUACUUUUAACGUAUUUUUGAUCGUGUUGCAGGGCUUAUUGAGGAAUAUGAUUCUCCAGCAAGAUUGCUGGAAAACAAAUCAUCGUCCUUCGCUCAGCUCGUGGCAGAGUACACAACGAGGUCGAAUUCUAGUUACGAGUAGUUUGAAUGACAAUUAACAGUCCAAAUCUUCACUGUGCACUAGUCAACUGGGUAACUGUUUUGAUAAUGUCGAAAUAAUUGGUAAGUAUGGUCUUACUCGCGAGUACCGAACCAUCAGAAUCGGAUGAUCAAGCUGCAGCUUGCAAGUGUAUUUUUAUAUGCUAUAUUUUUUGUUACAAAUGUGUUAUGAUUAAGUACAUUAUUCAAGUAAUGGUAAUCUCAGAGUUAAUGUAGCUGUCAAACUUUGUGCUUCCAAUGAAAUCUAGAAUGUCUGGUUUUAAUUUACCAGCAUUCAGUUGUGGACGUGCUGUUUCAAUUAGGAUUGUGGAUUAAAUUUAUAUUAAAUGCCAAGUUGCGCAUAGGUUUUAAGAAAAAAAUUACAAAGUUCUAUUAAAUAUUUAAGGAUAAGCCACACAUUUUAUUGCAAGUGAGCUUCUGACUGAGGGGAUGUAUUCAACUUGGAGUUUAAAAGCUUUUAAGAGUAUAAGAGUAGAUAAAUUUAUAUGUACUCAAUCAAGAUUUCAAAUGAAUCUGUAGAAGUUCACAGGUAUUCAAUCAACAUUUUAAAAGAGUAUAAAACUUAACAAAAUUAGAGUGCAUUUUUUCAGGAUUUUAAAGUAGUUCAUAAAACUCCAAAUGUAUUCAAUUACAAUUGGAUUUUAAAGUAUUUUAAUGAUGAAGUAUUUUAAUGGAUUUAGAGGGAUUUUAUACUGUUUUUUUAUAUUGGCUUUGGGAAAUCAAACCUCAACCUCUAAGAUUUCUAAUGAUUUUAUCCAAAAUUCACAUGGAAUGUGUGGAACACCAUUAAACUCCAUGAAUUUAUAACUCUUUUAAACUUUUUCAAAUUCUCAAUUGAAUACGACAUGGGAGAUUACCAUCUUCUCCUCAAGCCUUUUUUUUUUUAGAAUAUUAUAAGGUCCCUUACACUCUGUUUGAAUGAGGAAAUUUAAGAUUACUAGGGAAUUUUAAAAUAACGGAAUUUGAUUUUCUAAAAUUUAUGAAUUUUCUUGUUUGGCUAACCUAAAAGAAUAACGGAAUUUAAAUUUAAAAUCUCACUAAUAGAAAUUUAGAAAUUACACCUAUUUACAUCGAAUUUAAACUUGGGAAUUGGAGGUCUCAAAUUCCAAGUUUUUUUUUCCACGUGGAAAUUCUAUAUUUCUAUAUUUGUGAAUCCAAACAAGGGAAUUGGUCCAUGUCAAAUUUAUAAAUUCUAACUUUUGUCAAAAUUCCAAGUCUAUUUCCCUCAUCCAAACAUAGUGUUAAAGUACAGGGUUAACUUUGAGGGUUUAACAUUUUAGAAGGUCCAUCUCGGUUUUGGAGUUGAUCAUUUUGAGUCUAUGGUUUUAGAAUGUCCUUUGGAGGAGUUUAGGGUUUAGGGCAUAGGUCUUCGGGUUUUAGCGGAGCCCAAAAUCCAGGAACUAGACCCUACGCCCGAAGCGAUUAACUACUGAAAUUUUUUCUUCUAACAAAAGUCUUAUGCAUGCAUGUUAGUCACAAUUCAUUGAGAAUGUUAAUUGGCUAUGGCCUUAUAACAAUAGAGUUGGACAUUCUUGUCAUUUUAACUAGCAAGUUAGUUUGACUUUUUAACUAGUAUCUAAACUAAAAUGUAUAGUAUUUUAACUAGUAUCUAACAAAAGUUCUUUUGAAUUUGGUAUUUAAACUAAAGUGCCCCUUAAAUUUAUUGGAAUGGUUGGAAUUUCGUCCAUAAAUGCCUGCUUGGUGGGUUUGAAAAGCCUCCACUAUGAGCAAACGUGGGUUAGGCAAGUUGGCUAGGGUAAUGUGCAUGCACAACUCCAAUUUGAUUCUCUCAUUUCCGUAAAUUAGAGAAAUUUAGAAAAUCCUCUGAGGUAGCGGUAACAUAGCUGAUAGAUUCAUAUGGCCAUUCUCAAAAUCUGGUGAGUUCUGUGUCAAACUAGGUAUCAUUGGGCUCAUUGUAGAGCUUUGUCUAAGGCUAGAUCCAACAAGCCAUGCUCGUCUCACAGUCUUAAUCCGGACAUAUGGCAUAGGAUUUGGGGCUGCAACACUUUCCCUAAAAUCAAGCUGUUUCUAUGGCGAUUGACCAUGCACUCCCCCACAUUUGAUUGCUUAUUUCGUAGGACGCUAAGCCCCAAUCCCUUGUGCCCUAUAUGCAAAAUGCACCCUGAAACUUCAACAUAUUUGAUCUUUCAGUGCCAAUGGGCUGAAAGAUGUGGUUUGGUAGAGAUCUGGCCUAUAGACCCAAUCUCACUUUCACCUUACCCCUUCAACGACAAGUUCACCCUUAUGAUUAAUUACUUAAAAGUAAAAAGCCAUUAUAAAUAAAUAGAAAAACAAAAUCAAAUUAAACAUUAGAAAACAAAAUAUAGCAAAGCCUUAUGCAUCUUCUUCUUCCCCUUCGAAUUUUUUUCCGACCACAAACAUUUAUCCCCACCAAUUAACAAUAACAUACAGUUUUUUGAAUGAUAUCAAUAAAACAUAGAACAAAACUGUUUUUCCAAAAGUGAAUUUUAUUCCCAUUUCCAGUUACAAACUUUGAUAAGGCAAGAAAAACAAUGGGAGGACUACGAAUCAAACUGAGUUGCAGUAGACUUCCGGUGAGAGGACUGUGAAUCGAAUUUAAGGUGAAAUGUUGACCCGCAUAGAGUUCCGGAGUUGAACUUUAUAUCUUUUCUAGGGUUGACUUGCCUCCAGUGAACUUAUCCCCAUCUUAGGAGUUUGUCAUGCUCGUCAGAGAGGCUGUGUCGUUGUCGGAGUUACUAGCUCGACCAACAUAGUGUUGGACUGAGUUAGUCCAACGUCACAAGAUCUGACAAGGAGAAGGGAUGUGCAAUUAGCACAUAUUCCCUUCGGAAAAAACGAUAACAAAUAGUUAGGUCGAGCUCCUUGUUUCAUGGUAAAGCGAUUUAAAUUUUUCAAAGUAAUAAGAUAUUAGAACAAAAUAAAUAAAGGUAUUGGAAAUCCUCCCUUUUUAUGUUCCUCUGGGAAAACCUGAGCGUUGCAAUAAAACUCUUAUUCCCAUCGUAUGGAGUUGGAUUCGUGAUUCUUCAAUCCGUCAUGAAGUAGUUGAGACAUCGUACUGGGUGCUGAGAGAAGCCUUGCGCUACGAAGCGUGCUUUGUAUCGCACUAUUUCAUUCUUCUCAUUACACUUCCUCACGAAAACCCACUUGUAACCAACGGGCUUCACGCGUGGUGGUGUAGGAACGAUAGGUCCAAAUACCUUACGUUUCGCGAGCGAAUCGAGUUUGACCUGGAUUGCUUGUUUCCAGUUUGACCAAUCGGUUCUACGUCGGCAUUCAUCGACAAAACGUGGUUCAAUGUCAUUACUAAGCAUGAUGUCAGCAGCUACUCAUUACGAGAAUACAUCGUCGACGAUCAUCUCAUUCAUAUUCCAAACCUCAUCCAAUACUGUGUUGUGGACCGAAAUCUCGCGAUUCUCGAGAGGCCGACAUGUUUCAUCUAAAGCAUCACCGUAAUCUAGAAUAACCUCAUACGUUGGAACGGAUAAGUGAGCGAUGGUCGGAUUCAAACUAGGGUCACUAGUUGGUGCCAUUUUCCUCUUCCGGGGUUGUGAAUCCUUUGAACCAAGGGGUCUGCCACGCUUCAGGGUCAAAUCAGAUGAUUUGCUAGCCCUAAUGUACCUUGCCGCGUGGAGGGUGUGGCCUCCCCACCUUCGGGGACGGUCCAGCCUUCCCAAGGGUGUUGUUGACAUACACAGGGUACAUAUAUCCUUAAAGGUGUGUUUGCAGCGGGUAUAUGUGAUCUUGUCACCUUUGAUAGAUCAUUAAAAGCAUCCGGCAUGCUUUGAGCAAUGCUCUGAAGAUCUAUAAUUCGACGCACCUCAGUUUUAGACUGGGAAGUGAGGGGAUCUAAAUGAGACAUAGUGGGAGCAUACCACGACAAUUCACAGUGUUCUACGGGAAUGUUAGCAUGCUUAUCUCCCCCUAACGACAAGAAGACUGUCUCAUCAAAGUGACAAUCCGCAAAACGUGCAGUAAAGAGAUCUCCUAUCAAGGGUUCUAAGUAGCGAACAAUUGAUGGCGAAUCAUAACCGACAUAGAUUCCCAUUUUUCUCUGAGGACCCAUUUUGGUACGUAGCGGCGGCGCUAUUGGCACAUAAAUGGUUCACCCAAACACCCGUAAAUAUGAGACGUCAAGCUAGUAUCCAGUAACCAACUGUAACGGUGAAUAUGGUUGGGUAGCGAUGGGCCUCAAGCGGACCAACAUAGUGUUGGAAAUGUGCCCUAAAACCAAUCAUAUGAUGAUACUUUAUAACAUUUCACAUGUUAAACUAAUCUAAUUUAAUAUCAAGAGCAAAGAUUAUUGUUUUAAGCCGUCUCAUAUAAAUGUUAUAUGCUUAAACGAUAAGUCCAAGGAAUAUGUAAUUAGGAGAAUGUAAUUUAAAGAAGUUAGAUUCAUGAGACCAUUCUCUUUCGUAUACAUAUCCUAAACGUUCCUGAUCAUAGGAUUACCAAUUAGGCAUUGACAGUCCGUUAAGAUCAGUACGUGUUGUGUCUUCUCUUAGGGAAAGUGACUGGUCUCGAGUCAUUGGUGUGAUUGACACCAAGACAAGCAUGUAGGUGCUCAAUAGAGAAUGAGUCCACUGAACACGAUCAACGAGGAGUUCUCAUACUCAUGUCACAUGAGAACUCAUGGUUGGGAUAAUGCAAAGUAGUCCUUUGACCUGAGGCAUCAUAGUUGUCUUGUGGUUAGGUCUUUGAUCUUUGACUAUGUCAAAGUCACUCUGUCAGAGGGUGUCCACGGCAUAGUUGGGGUUAAACCACUUAGGCAUGGAGGCAAGUGAAUGCGCAACAAGGGAUCUUUAACCUUCAAACCGUUUGAGGAAGAAUACUCUAUGAUAUGAUUAAGAAUCUCUGGCCAGAGUAUGAAUGAGAUUUAUGAAGUCGUUCCAAAUCACAUUCAAGGUAAUCAUAUAAGUAAAUGAAUCACAUUGGAUAGUAAACAUGAUUAAACUAUCAAACCAAACAAUGUGGUCAAGAGUAUUGUAUUAGAGAAAGACUGUAUUACAUUAUAAUCCUAAACUGAAUGGGUUCUCCACCUCUUCUGAUUAGCUUGGGUAACCAUGACAUACUGUUAGGUGUCACUCAUGGUUUGUGGAAGCCCUAAACAUGUAUAAUCACUAAGGGGGAGAAUUGAAAGUAAGUUUCAAUUCACAAUCGAUCGUUAAGAGUAACAAUCGCCCACUGCCUCGCUAAAAGGAACCUAAUGGAUCGUACACCGUGUAAGGUAGAGAUUGAAGAAACAACGGAGAUGAGUAAGGAUAAUUAAAUGGUUUAAUUAUUUAUGGCUAGGAUUAAUUAAUAUGUUAAUUAAUCAAACGAAUAAGUUCGUUAUAGACCUAGGGUUAGUUUUGGGCCACAGGGCCCAAUGGGAGUUGAAUGUCAAGCCCAUUAACUCAAGUUGUAUGACAACUUGAAUAAACAAAGGGCUUGAAAGCCCAAUAAACCCUUAAGGCCGGCCAAAUAGAGGAGGGUAGUGAACUUGCUUUAAUUGCAAGUUUGCCACUCCAUUAUGAGGUGGUAUAAAGUCAACUUUAUAGCCAUUUCAUCCUUAGGGUUUCUUUUAGAGAAAAUAUGAGAACACAAUGCUCUCAUUUUCUCUUUAAGAGGCCGGCCCCCUUAGAGGAGAUUAGCUAGCAAUCUCUCAUCCUCCAAGGUCACUCAUCUCUUCUUCAAAUCCCUCCUUGGUGUGGAAAAAUUAGAGGUUCUCAAUUUUGGGAACUUGUAGAAUCCUUUCUACCAUCAUCCUUCAAGAAAUCGAUGGAACUAAGAAGCAAGGAAUGAAGGCCCUCUCCUUGGGUGAUUAGCCAUGCUUAUGCAAAGAGGAAUCAACAAAGGUAUAAAAUAUCUCAACUCAAUAUGUUCUUGAGUUGAGUCUUGGUUCAUCUUUCUACUAGGCUUUGAAUUUCAUGGGUAAUGUUUUGUUUUUGAGUGCAUACAAGUAUGAUUCCACCUUUAAAUGUUAAUUGCAUGCAAUAGAUGUUGCUCAAAUGAACAUGUUUUUCACAAAAUUUCCUUCACAUAGUUGCGUGCAAUAUUGCAUAGCCCCAGGCAGAUACAAGCAGUUUGGUUCACAUAACCAAAGUCCCAACUAUCAAUUGAAGGCAUUUUAUGAAAGCUUCUGUCAGGUCGUUUUGGGUGUGAACAUGGGGUACAGGAUGUUCCACAUUUAUCCCUAUUGACAUGCAAUAAUCGUCAAAAGUCUGUGACGUAAACUCUCCAGCAUUAUCCAGUCGAAUCGACUUGAUUGGAUAAUCAGGGUGGUGAGCCCUUAGCUUAAUGAUUUAAGCUAGGAGUUUAGCAAACGCAGCAUUGCGUGUGGACAACAAGCAAACAUAUGACCAUUUUGUCGAUGCAUCAACCAACACAAUAAAUUAUCUAAAUGGUCCGCAAGUUGGUUGGAUUGGUCCACAAAUGUCCACUUGAAUCCUCUAAAGAAAUUUAGGGGGGUCAUGAAUAAUUUAUAUAUAAGGGUUGAGUAUUCAACUUCCCUAAAGAACACACUUUGCAUGGUGGGAGUCCAACAUAGGGAUGUAAGGAUACGGUGCAUCAUGUCACGUCCAUGAUGUCCCAAAUGAUCAUGCCAAAGCAAUAAAAUGUCCGAGAACUCAAGCAUAGGGCCGGCCACACUGUGGGCUUCUAUGCCGCGAAUGGUUGUGAUGUACAACCCACUCGGCAAGUGUUCUAACUUCUCGUGAAUAUGCUUAUGGCCAUAUUCAUACGAAGUGAUACAAAGAAAUUCAGAACCAUGAUCUUCAGUGGUUUCAAGAUGAUAUUGAUUAUCUCGAAUGUCUUUAAAACUCAGCAACAUUCUUCCGGAACGUGGAGAAUAGAGUGUCUCCUUAAUGAUCAGAAUUAUACCAUUAGACAACAUGAUAGGUGCAUUUCCGUAUCCUUCAAUCAGGUUGGAUGAGCCUGAGAGAGUCAUCAAAUGAGCUUUCUUGGGUAUGAAGUUAGUAAAAUAGUGGCGUUCACACAAGAUAGUGUGCGUGAUUGCACUAUCUGCCAAACAAUUAACUUCCCCACUAGACAUACCUAGAAAUAAAUUGAUUGAAUUGGUCGCAUGUAUAAAUAUAUGUCCUUUCAUUCAAUUACGCCAUUCGAGAAAAUAAUAUUCAAAUAAUAAUCCAUAAUUCAAAACAAACCAAAACCAAACAAAUUAUUCCAAAUACUAAGAAAAAUUGUUCAAAAUUAAACCAUAAACCUAGCAAAAUAGGGGGUAGGGCCGGCCACUCCUAGUGGGUUCGGCCACUAGGGGUAAACACCCUAAAUACAUGUCUAUUUUAGUCAUCCAUAGGCGCUGACGCCUCCUGGAAAUUUGAUAUCUCCAAUGAUGUAGUUGCAUCUUCCGGAUAAGCCACAUGUGCAAAGUUAGACUCACGACGGGAAUGAUACUUGGAAAUAGCCUCAGGGGAAGCUCGGCAUACGCGUGAUUAAUGAUCCCUUGAUCCACAGCGAUAGCAGUUGUCCAGUUCAGUAGAAGUAGCCUGAACGGGAGCUUUUCCCUUGUUCUUGAAGUUUGGGACCUUGGGGCAAAUGGUGGACGCUGCUAGGUCGCAAUUCUUCCCUUAGGUGCGGCACUCUGUUGACCUUAGGCCCAUGGUUGGGCUUGCCGCCCAUUGCCACGACCACGACGGCUUUUUUGUCAUUUAUGGCUGAUAGAAUAGGUCGCAUGCGCUUCGGGCGCGGUGUUGGAGCCAGUAGGUCGAGCUUGAUGAUUCUUCAUCAAAAGCUGGUUCUACUUUUCAGAUAAAAGUAAAACAGAGAUCAAAUCCGAAAACUUGGUGAAUUUUUGUGCCCUAUAUUAUUGCUGCAGGACAAUAUUGGUGGCAUGGAAGGUCGAAUAGGUAUUCUCCAGGAGAUCUGAUUAGGUUAGUUCCACUUUGCAGAAUUUCAACAGAGAAUGGAUUCUACAAACUUCAGAGUUUUAUUCAUUCACGGACUUAAAGUCCUGGAAGCGAAGAUGCUGCUAGUCGUAUCUUGCUUUAGGCAAGUAUAUGUCUUUCUGAUGAUCGAAACGGUCGACCAGAGCAAGCCAAAGGGUGCGUAGGUCCUCCUUAAUGAGAUACUCAAUCUGCAGUGCAUCAUGAAUGUGUCUUCAGAUGAAGAUCAUUCCAGUAGUCUUCUGAGCUUCGUCAACAGGUUUGUCGGCGAUAGAUGUCUUGAUGGUGGCUCUAAUACCCUUUACAGUGAGAUGGAACUUCAUGUCUUGAACCCACUUCAGAUAGUUUCUUCCAGAGACUUCUAAAGCGGAGUAUCGAGCUUGUUCAAGCUCAACAUGUCCCUAAAACGGAGGGAGAAAACGUGAUUAGUUAUAUGGUAAGCCAUUGACAUAUAUCGUAGAACAUACAGGUUCUUUAGACAUGUAUUGGUUUAAUUUAUGCAUGAAAACUACGAGUUUCAUGUGGUAUGUUUUGAAUGAAAACUUCAGGUUUCAAAUGCACUAAAUUUGAAACUACAAGUUCAAUUUAGUUUUAUGAACAAUUAGUUCAUAAUGAGAGGUUCUUGCAAGAAACACAUAAUGCAAUAUACUAACUAAGUGUAGUGGAUUUGAGUUGUCUUCGGGAACUCAAGUGUGAGAGCUUCAUUACUACGAAAGUAUGUGACAAUUCAAAGUAUAAAAAUAAAUUAUUGAAUCGUUAAUGUCUAAAAGUGAACUUCAGAUCAAUAAUUUUGGAUUCAUUAUCAUAUUAAUGGAUUGCAGGUCACUUUUAAUUAAUUCAAUAAAUCGGGCCAUACAAGGUUGAUUAUAGAAGCAAAAUAAUAUUAUUGGAUCGAGAAUAUAGCCCUAAAAUAAUUUUGGGCUUGGUGUCGUGGGUUAAGAGGCAUGGGUUUGGGUGCCUUAAGCAUAAGGCAAGGCCCAAAGGUCAUCGGGUUGGCUACAGGAAAACAGCUCAUGGUGGCUGCAGGCCACGGGCCUGGGUGGAAAAAAACAGAAAGAAACCCAAGCUGCAGGUUAGGUCGAGGGAAGGCACGAGGGAAGGCCAAGCAAGGGCUGGCCUAUAGGUUGUCAUGGUAAGCCCUAGCCGCAUGCGGACCGGGGAAUGACAAAGGUGUAAUGGCAAAUGGGUAGUGAGAACUAGACCCAAGUAACUGGACUUGGCGUCUGGUAAGCAGGCUGCAGGCCUGGGCAGUUUGCACAGUGAUGGUGCGGUGGUGUGCUGCACCAUGCCCUAUUUCAUCAUUUUUUUUUUUAAUCCCAUAGGGUUUAGGAAAAACCCUAAAUAUGCUUCUAAUUUAAUUUUGUACUUUGACUCACAAAUUCCACAUAACAAUUUAAUUGUGCGAUGCAUGAAACAAUUAUAUAUAUUGACAAAAAUAUGAGCAUAUACAAUAUAUAUAUAUAUAUAUAUAUAUAUAUAUAUAUAUAUCGAAAGGAAAAUAUAAACAUAGAGGGGUUCAUGCAUCAUGGGGAAUGUUUUUAUGCUUCGUGGACAUUUCAAAUAUCUUCUUUUAUUUUAAGCGUACCUGAUUAGCAGAAAACAAAUAAGCCUUUGAAUUUGGUGGAUGAUAGCCUCAUCCAACGAUGUGUCAAUUCCUUAGCUUCUGGUAAGAACGUGCUGAUAACGUGUUGUAUGCCUAUUUGAUUGAAUGAUCUAGGGUUUAGAGAGAGAGAGGGGCCCGACCACUAUUAGAGAGAAGAGAGAUUGAUUUAAUUGUGAGGUGUGUUUGAUUCACCCCAUUGUGCCUUUAUUUAUAGUAGUAGGAAGGGUAAAACCUUUCCCUUUAGGAUUACAACAUUUAAUAGGUAAUCUAAAUCCUAAUAGGGAUAUAAGAUACAUACCCAGAUUCCCUAGGAUUUACACAAUCACAUUUCUAUUCUAAAUAUGACUGCAACAUUUAUUACCUUUGUUGAUGCACGAAAUCACUAAGGACUUUGGUACAACAAAAAGUGUCAAGUUUGUGACCUUCGCUAGAUUGCUCCAAUCACUAGUGUAGAUAAGUAUGUAAAUGGAUAGAGACAGGAAAGUAAACACAAGAUGUGGUUCACCCAAAUUGGCUACAUCCACGGAGUAGAGGAGUUCUCAUUAAUUGUGAAGGGUUUACACAAGUACAUAGGUUCAAGCUCUCCUUUAGUGAGUACUAGUGAAUGAUUUAGUACAAAUGACAUUAGGAAAUAUUGUGGGAGAAUGAUCUCCUUUUAUAGAAGAGAGUUUCUAGCUUUGUUCUGAAAUUGACACGUGUCGUGUUGUGAUUGGUUCUGAUGUUGACACAUGUCGCGCUAUGAUUGGAUUUUGAUGUUGACACAUGUCAUGCUGUGAUUGGCCUAUUGGUUGGAAGGAAACUCUUCUAGGUCCUUGAUAGUAUAACGUUGACUGGUGCUCGGUAGUUUCGAGAUUGGUCAAGUAUGGUACAAACAGUGCUCCCCUAAGUUCCUAAGUGAGGGAAGCUCCUCGGUUUGGGACUUGCAAGAUCCAAGCCGCUGAGUAAUCAUGAAACUUCUAAGUAUCGAAGUGUGGUAUCGUCUUCACUUGCCUUAUCUGUCGUAUAGAUAGAUGUGGCAUCUUCUCUGGAAGUACUCUUCCUUCAUCCAGGGGUGGUAUCUUUAACCCGUGGAGAUGCACAAGGUAAUGUAUCAAUUUUCACUUGAAGCUUACUUAUAGUUUUAGGCUUGGUCAAGCGCAAUACAAACCAUGUAGUAGGAGUCCCCCAAGUCGCCGAGCUAGGAGAUCUGCCGAAAGAGGUGACAGACAAGGUAAGCAAUCAAAGCUCCAAGCAAUCAGUCCCAGAUCAGAAGUUUGAUUUUGAGUUCCGGCUAAUUGUUCUCAUUCUCCCUAUCUUACAGGCAGCAGGAAGGAUAAAGAGAAGAAAAAUGAGAAGAGAUGAUAUGAGAUACUUUUGCUUUUGAAGAAGUAACUUUCCAUAGGCUUAUUCUUGAAUUGGGCUGGAAAGUUUUCUAGUUUCCUCCAGAGUAUAAGGCCGACUCAAGAAUUUGAUGGUCAAAACAAGUCCAUCAAAUCAAGAGUUCAUUCAACCUUGGUGAUAUGGGAUACUUUUUCUGUUGACAAAGUAGUGGAAGUGGUAUGGCGAGGCUUUGCUCUUUGGUGACGUUGUUAGCGAAAUGUUGUUGAAGUUUCUUGAGCUCUUCGGAUAGGGUAGGAAGCCGAGCUUGGAUUUGACUUAGACUUCUCUGUAUGGAUUAUGCGGUUCUGCAGUGAGGGCGUCGUGCUAUAGUGAUAUGUUCUAGCUCAUCGUUGAACCUUCUGCUUCAAUCUUUUGCAUCGCAGAAGUGGUGCGCACCUUUUGCAUUUGAAUGGUCUUUCAGAGCAUUACUUCUCAAUGACUCAUCCAUGCUUGGCAGCUUUAAUAAAGAGCCAAUAUCGUAUCAGCUGUUCUGAAGUAUAUGCCGAAAGGAUUCGUGACCUUGACAACAGUUGAGGAUGAGUACUCGAGAGCAAUGAUAGGUAAGCAACCAGGCAAAGGUUCCGGGCAAUCAGUUCCAAAUUGGAAGUUUGAUUUCAGGUUCCGACUGAUUACUUUCUUUCUCCUUGUCUUGCAGGUAAGAGCAAUGCAAAGGAAAAGACAGGGAAAAAGCAUGAUAUGGGAUACUCUUACUUUUAACCCUGAUGAUAUGAGAUACUCUUGCUCUGGUGUAGCUUGUUUGCAGAGAUAUUAUCGGGGGAAAGGAAGCUAAGUAUUUUGAGAGGCUUCGUUGGGAGUGCCCUCUCAGAUAUAAGGAAUAGUUAAGCAUUUUUGCAGGUCUGCCUGUCCGUAAAGGGUGGAGGUAGACAUAUAUAGGAAUUUCCCCAACAACAAGUAGUAAUGUUAUUCAUUUACCCUUCUUGGUUAUAACAAUAUAUUAGGAGCUACAAGCUUCACGUGUUUUAACUUUGUCAAAGCACUUUGAAAAAGUAUUCUGAGGUAUCUGGAAAGCUGAUGUUGCGUGUGAAGAUUGUAGACAAAUUUUAUCCAAGGAAAUCUGGCUCUCAAAGUUCGGAGAGCGAUGCCUCUUCGGCUUUCGAAUAAGCAAUCCUGUUGGGGAUCUGGCUCUCGAGAUUCGGAGAGCAUUGCCUCUUCGAUUUUUGAACAAGCAAUCCUAUUGGGGAUCUGGUUCUCGAGAUUUAGAGAGUGGUGCCUUUUUGAUUUUUGAGAAAGCAAUCAUGUUGUAAGUCUAGCUUUCGAGAUUUGGAUAGCGGUGCCUCUUCGAUUUUUGAGAAAGCAAUCCUGGUGGGAGUUUGGCUCUCGAGAUUCGGAGAGCGGUGCCUCUUCAAUUUUUGAGAAAGCAAUCCUGGUGGGAGUUUGGCUCUCAAGAUUCGGAUAGCGGUGCCUCUUUGAUUUUUGAGCAAGUAAUCCUGGUGGGAGUCUGGCUCUCGAGAUUCGGAAAGCGAUGCCUCUUCGAUUUUUGAGAAAGCGAUCAUGUUGGGAGUGUUUUCUCGAUGUGAGUAAAGGUUGGGUAUUUUUGCCAGUCUACCUUGCCACGGAGCACGGAGGUUGACACACAUAGGGACUUUCCAGUUAUCAAACAGUGAUGCUGUUCUUUUACCCUUGUGGGUAAUGGUAGGGUAGCUGGACCUUCAAAAUUUAUGUGUCUAAACUUUGUCAGAGAUAUUUGGCAAAGUUAUCUGUGGUACUCGAGGAGCUGAUGUUGCAUGUGGGGAUUGUCGACAUAUUUUACUCAGGAAAAUCUGCUUCUCAAAAUCCGGAGAGUGGUGCCUCUUCGAUUUUUGAACAAAUAGCCCUACUGCCCUCUCUUUUAUAGGGGCACCAAUUGUGUGCAAGAAGUAUAUUCAGAGAGUUAUUGCUUGUAGGAAUUUUUCCACUUAUUUUCGUACUUCAGAGAUUUAUUGGACCUCAUUUCUCCUUCAUCAUUUCUAAAAAUGUCUGGCUCAUCUGACCGUCCUUAUGGCUUGAACUUUGGUAAAGAGGCAGCCAUGCCUCCUCAAGACAACAUAUAGUGCACAUCCUUCUUAUCCCCUACUGGUUCUCUUACCGUUGGGGACUCUAUGAUGAAGAAUGAUAUGACCGCUGCGGUGGUGGCCAGGAACUUUCUCACUCCCAAAGAUAACAGACUACUUUCCAAACGGUCUGAUGAGUUGGCUGUUAAGGAUUCUCUGGCUCUCAGUGUUCAGUGUGCAGGUUCUGUGUCUAAUAUGGCCCAACACCUAUUUGCUCAAACCUGCCAAGUUGAAUCAUUGGCGGCUGAAGUGAUAAGUCUCAAACAGGAGAUCAGAGGGCUCAAGCAUGAGAAUAAACAGUUGCACAGGCUCGCACAUGACUAUGCUACAAACAUGAAGAGGAAGCUUGCACUACUACAAUAUAGGCUAUCACUGGCGGACCAAAAACCGACAAGAAACCCCGAUUUCUGUCGGAAAUUUGGCAAAAAUCCGACAUUAAACACUGCAAUGUCGGAUUGGAAUAGCGACGCCAUUGCUACCGUCACUAAAGGGCUUCAGCGUCGCUUUGUUCGCUUAAUCCGCCACUACGCAGCGUCGGUUUAAAGCGAUGCUGAUGUUAACGUUGGUUUAAAGCGACGCUAGUUAACAAUUAACUAAAUAAAAUAUGCAAACUAGUGACGGUUUAAAGCGACGUUAGAGAACAAUUAAAUAAAUAAAAUAUGCAAACUAGUGACGGUUUAAAGCGACACCACCUUUGAUAAUAAUAAUUAAAAAAAAAGUCGAAAUCUGUUUCUGUAUUCGUUCUCAAAUAAUUAUAACUCAAAAAAAUUAUAUAAUCGAAAUAAUAAAUUUCAAUUUUAGGCCAAAACAAACAAUAAUAAAAAUAAUUCAAAAGAAAAAAUAGUGCCAUAAUAUACAAAUGUUUUACAUCUAACAUUCCAUAUAAUUUACAAAAAUUCAUCCUCCAUGCUUUCCUGUGCUUGCCUUUGUCGAAGACCACAGAUUUUGUAGCUCCAUAGUGCCAUAUAUAAUACUAGCAACUCCAUACUGCAAUGCUUGCCAUCAGAUCAGUGCUCCAAUACUUUACUACUUCAACAUUAGGGCUCUAAUCUCUAUAGAUUAAACUCAGGUUUUAUACCUUUAAAAAAUUAUGGAUCUGCGAUUUCCAGUGUCCUUGCUCUUCAGAUCCAACAUGCAUAAAUACAAAAAAAAAAAACAAUUAAAAACCAAGAAACAAAAAUAAAUUUUCAAUUUAAGCAUAAAACUAUUUAGAAUACAAAAUAGAAACUAAAAUUAAUAAUCAUAAUAAUUUAAAAAUGAACCACCUUCAAGAUCUUCCUCCUCGAAUUGGAGUUCUUCAAAAUGUUGAUCUUUAAACUAGUGAUCCAAAGCAAACAGGGAAGGAGUUGAGGAAAAACUAAAAAGGAGGAAGAAGGGGACGCACAUAUGAAAUGGGGAAGGAGAAGAAGAAAUUCUGAAAUUCGGGGAGAAAUGAAAGCACGGUUGAAAUGGGAAAGAGAAGGGUUUAAAUAUGGGUACUUAGUUUGCGUCCGUUAAAACCGACGCAAACGUCUGACACAUUUUUUGAAAUUCACAUAGCGUCGCUUUAAUGAAACUCGCGUCGCUUUAAUCAAACUCACGUCGCUUUAAACCGACACAAACUUCUGACACUUUUUGAAAUUCACAUAGCGUCGCUUUAAUGAAAAUUGCGUCGCUUUAAUGAAACUAGCGUCGCUUUAAUGAAACUAGCGUCGCUUUUAACCGACGCCAACUUCUGACACACUUUUUGAAAUUCACAUAGCGUCACUUUAAUGACACUAGCGUCGGUUAAAACCGACACUAAGUCCUCCAUCCAUUCAAACAAGCGGGAAAUUUCCCGCCUAAUAUUUCAAAUACUAUAAUUUUAUAUAUAUUAAUUUUAUAACCCUAAAAAAUACUAUAAUAAUUAUAUAUAUUAAUGUCACAAUUUUAUACCCCUAAAAACUAUAAUAAUUAUAUAUAUAUAUAUUAAAUUAAAUUUUAAAAAUUGGUGACCAUUGGAUCAGUUUAAAUAUACAUACCAUUCAAUUUCUUUAAGUGUUAUACAUACAAAAUAAAUAAAUUUAAAUCUACUUAAUAAAUAUAUAUAUACUUUCAUUAAGUAUAACAUAAGAUUUUGUGGUAUCCACUUGUGUGAAUAUUUUAAUUUGAAGAUCGAAUUCAUUCAUUAUAUUCAUAUUGGGUCAAUGAGUGUAACUGUAAAAAAUCAUCAAAAUCGGAGUUAAAAUAACCGUUAAAUCGUGAUUUUUCGUUUAUAACCGUCGAAAAGUUUUGUCUCGUUACUUGAUCUUUGAAUGUUUGUUUUUUGUGAUUUUUUGCUGAUGUGAUCUCGAAGCAUAUGCAAACAAGUUUGACGGUUGGGAUCGUUGAAAUUAGUUUCGGAGAAUUCGUAUCACAUCAAAACAAUAGAUUGACUAACAUUUAGAGUUUAUUUAUACUUUCAUUAAGUAUAACAUAAGAUUUUGUGGUAUCCACUUGUGUAAAUAUUUUAAAUUGAAGAUCGAAUUCAUUCAUUCUAUUCAUAUUGGGUCAAGGAAUGUAGCUGUAAAAAAUCAUCAAAAUCGGAGUUAAAAUAACCGUUAAAUCGUGAUUUUUCGUUUAUAACCGUCGAAAAGCUUUGUCCCGUUACUUGAUCUCUGAAUGUUUGUUUUUUGUGAUUUUUUGCUGAUGUGAUCUCAAAGCAUAUGCAAACAAGUUUGACGGUUGGGAUCGUUGAAAUUAGUUUCGGAGAAUUCGUAUCCCAUCAAAACAAUAGAUUGACUAACACUUAGAAUUUAUUUAUACUUUCAUUAAGUAUAACAUAAGAUUUUGUGGUAUCUACUUGUGUAAAUAUUUUAAUUUGAAGAUCGAAUUCAUUCAUUCUAUUCAUAUAGGGUCAAGGAGUGUAGCUGUAAAAAAUCAUCAAAAUCGGAGUUAAAAUAACCGUUAAAUCGUGAUUUUUCGUUUAUAACCGUCGAAAAGCUUUGUCCUGUUACUUGAUAUCUGAAUGUUUGUUUUUUGUGAAUUUUUUGCUGAUGUGAUCUCGAAGCAUAUGCAAACAAGUUUGACGGUUGGGAUCGUUGAAAUUAGUUUCGGAGAAUUCGUAUCCCAUCAAAACAAUAGAUUGACUAACACUUAGAGUUUAUUUAUACUUUCAUUAAGUAUAACAUAAGAUUUUAUAGUAUCCACUUGUGUAAAUAUUUUAAAUUGAAGAUCGAAUUCAUUCAUUCUAUUCAUAUAGGGUCAAGGAAUGUAGCUGUAAAAAAUCAUCAAAAUCGAAGUUAAAAUAACCGUUAAAUCGUGAUUUUUCGUUUAUAACCGUCGAAAAGCUUUGUCCCGUUACUUGAUCUCUGAAUGUUUUUUUUUUGUGAUUUUUUGCUGAUGUGAUAUCGAAGCAUAUGCAAACAAGUUUGAUGAUUGGGAUCGUUGAAAUUAGUUUCGGAGAAUUUGUAUCCCAUCAAAACAAUAGAUUGACUAACACUUAGAGUUUAUUUAUACUUUCAUUAAGUAUAACAUAAGAUUUUGUGGUAUCCACUUGUGUAAAUAUUUUAAUUUGAAGAUCGAAUCCAUUCAUUGUAUUCAUAUAGGGUCAAGGAGUGUAGCUGUAAAAAAUCAUCAAAAUCGAAGUUAAAAUAACCGUUAAAUCGUGAUUUUUCGUUUAUAACUGUCAAAAUUAGUUUCAUAGAAUUCGUAUCCAAUCAAGUUCAAUGGUGUGUAUAUAUAUAUUAAGUAGAUUUAAAUUUAUUUAUUUUGUAUGUAUAACACUUAAGAAAUUGAAUCGUAUGUAUAUUUAAGCCAAUCCAAUGAUCACCAAUUUUUUAAAAUUUAAUUUAAUAUAUAUAUAUAUAAUUAUUAUAGUUUUUAGGGAUAUAAAAUUUAAUUUAAUAUAUAUAUAAUUUAAUAUAUAUAUAUAUAUAUACACACUUUAUGUCGCUUAAAAGCGACACUAGUAUUUAAAAAUUAUUAAAAUAAUGUUUACGUCGGUUUAAAAGCGACACUAGUAUUUAAAAAUUAUUAAAAUAUAUGUUUACGUCGGUUUAAAAGCGACAUAAACAUUUAAUAACGCUUAUAAGCGACAGUAAAUCCGACGUCAUGUUCAGUUAGUGUCGCAACUGCCCAAUCCGCCACUAUAUUAGAUUAAAGCGACACCACCCUCCGACACUAUAGCCCCCUUUUGUAGUAGUGUUGACCAGAUGCAGGAAUUUGAUGGUCAGAUUUUACUUGAUCAUCAGAGGUUUGUGGGUUCGUUCCAAAGGAAUUUAUUGCCUUCAUCUUCUGUGGCUGUACCACGUAAUGAAGCUCCAAAUGAUUAACCUAUGAUGCCUCAUCCUUCUGGAGUUCUGUCCAGUACUGAGGCUCCGAAUGAUCACCCUCCGAUGCUUUCUCUUUCUAGGGCUCUGCCGACUGCUGAGACUUCUCCUGAGCAACCUUUGUUAAGGCUCCCUCUUGUUUGUUUAUUUUGAGUUAUGUAUAUGUACAUAUUUGUAACUUAUCGGAGAUAUCAAUAAAUAAGUUUUGCUUCAUUUCAACGUAUUGUGUUAAAUACACCAAAAGCCUUCUUCACUAAGUUCGUUGAAUUUUUUCUUUUGUUGAAGCUUUGUGAGUGAAGCAUGUAGGUUGAGGUAGUGCUCCCUUAAUUUCCCGAGUGAGGAAAACUUCCAAGUAUCAAGGUGCAGUAGCAUAUGGUAGGAGUCCCCCAAGUCUCUGGUCGAAGGAGUUGAAGAAUGAGGUGUCUUGCUAGUAGCCAAGUUUCCAAAGUAACAAAACUUCACCAUUUUCCUUUCUAAGUGGUAGCCCAAAACUCCUCCUUCAUAUAUAUUUGUUAUGAAAGUUGUUAGGCCCAAAGAAAAGAAGGCCUAGGCAUUUUUUUUUUUUUUUGAAUUUUUGAAUUUUCGAAUUUUCGAAAAAAAAAUAUAUAUAUAUAUAUAUAUAUUAUAUAUUUUUAAGCUUUUUGGUGAAGUUUUGGUGUUGAAGCUUUGUAAGUGAAGCUUUGAGGUUGAAGCUUUGUUGGGUACCAUGAAUUGAUUUUGCUUCACACUAUCUUGAUCAAGAGUGUGUGAAGCUUUUGUAGGUGAAGCUUCUGUGUUGAAGCUUUGUAGGUAAAGCUUUUGUAGGUGAAGCUUUUGUGUUGAAGUUUUUAUGGAUGAAGCUUUUAGGUUGAAUCUUUGUAGGUGAAGCUUUAGAGUUAAAGCUUUUGUAGGUGAAGCUUUGGAGUUGAAGCUUUUGUAGGUGAAGCUUUGUAGAUGAACCUUUUGUGUUGAAGCCUUGUAGGUGAAGCUUUGGAGUUGAAGCUUUUGUAGGUGAAGCUUUGGAGUUGAAGCUUUGUAGGUGAAGCUUUUGUGUUGAAGCUUUGUAGAUGAAGCUUUGGAUUUGAAGCUUUUGUAGGUGAAGCUUUGGAGUUGAAGCUUUUGUAGUUGAAGCUUUUGUGUUGAAGCUUUGUAGGUAAAGCUUUGGAGUUGAAGCUUUGUAAGUGAAGAUUUUGUGUUGAAGCUUUGUAGGUGAAGCUUUUGUUGGCACCAUAAAUUGGUUUUGCUUCACAAUGUCUUGAUCAAGAGUGUGUGAAGUUUUUAAGAAUUGUAGUUGCCCUCCAUUGAUGAAGCUUUUGUUGGCACCAUAUAUUGGUUUUACUUCACACUGUCUUGAUCAAGAGUGUGUGAAACUUUUGAGAAUUGUAGUUGCCCUCCAUUGAUGAAGCUUUUGUUGGCACCAUAAAUUGGUUUUUCUUCACACUGUUUUGAUCAAGAGUGUGUGAAGCUUUUGAGAAUUGUAGUUGCCCUCCAUUGAUAAAGCUCUUGUUGGCACCAUAAAUUGGUUUUGCUUUACACUGUCUUGAUCAAAAGUAUGUGAAGCUUUUGAGAAUUGUAGUUGCCUUCCAUUGAUAAAGUUGUUGUUAGCAACAUAAAUUGGUUUUGCUUCUCACAUUCUUAAUCAAGAGUGUGUGAAGCUUUUGAGAAUUGUAGUUGCCCUCCAUUGAUGAAGCUUUUAUUGGCACCAUAAAUUGGUUUUGCUUCACACUGUGUUGAUCAAUAAUGUGUGAAGCUUUUGAGAAUUAUGGUUAAACUCUUUUGAUGAAGCUCUUGUUGGCAUCAUAAAUUGGUUUGGCUUCACACUAUCUUGAUCAAGAGUGUGUGAAGCUUUUGAGAAUUGUGGUUGCCCUCCAUUUGUUGAAGCUUUUGUUGGUGAAGCUUUUGUGGUGUAGCUUUGUAGGUGAAACUUUGAGGUUGAAGCUUUAUUAGGUACCAUGAAUUGAUUUUGCUUCACACUAUCUUGAUCAAGAGUUUGUGAAGCUUUUGCCAUUUGUAGUUGCCCUGCACUUGUUGAAGUUGUUGAAUUUCCCAAUUUCCAUUUUUCUUUUUUUUUCUUUCUUUAUUUUUUUAUUUAUUUAUUUUUUUUGUGAAAACUAGAAAUUUUAAAAUGUGCGAGAGACAACAUAUACAAACUUUGCUUCCUCAUUGUUGAGCAAGAGAUUGUACUGCAAGCCAUAACUUGUAGUGGUCGAAGGUUUGGAUGAACCAUAUAAAUUAAAUUUGCUUCGAGCAGUCUUGAUCAAAAGUGUGUAAAGCUUUCUACGAGUUGUAGUAUUUGCAUUGUUACAGAUGAGAAAUAUCUGAAGCAGAUGCAAAAGGGCUGAAGAGCUUGAUCUUCGUAUACCAUGCACUGAAGCCGUUGUUGGCUUGCAAUAAGACUUUGUCGGUGACUAUAACUCUUAUUAGGCAUAAGUGCUCCCUUAGUUGAGUUGUAAAGCUUGAGAGAGUUUUUUAUUAUUUGUGAAUGCUAAAGGUUCACAUGUACAAGUUGUACCACUCGUCUUCUGGUUGGUGGAAUGAAUGGUGAGUUGCUUUCAUCACUUGGUUGGUGGUACGAAGGUCACUUCCUUCAUCAGCUUUCAUCACAUUUCAUCACCUGGUUGGUGGCACGAAGAUGAGUUCUUUCUUCAAAUUUCAUCACCUAGUUGGUGGAAUGAAGGAGAGUACGAGUUAUACAUUUCAUCACCUGGUUGAUGGCAUGAAGAUGAGUUCCUUCUUCACCUAGUUGGUGAUAAGAGUGGCAAGUUGCCAAAUAAUAUUAGAGUACGGGUUGUACAUUUCAUCACCUGGUUGGUGGCAUGAAUGAGAGUACAAGUUGUACAUUUUAUCACCUGGUUAGUGGCAUAAAGAUGAGUUCCUUCUUCAUAUUUCAUCACCUGGUUGGUGGCAUGAAGGAGAGUACGGGUUGUACAUUUCAUCACCUGGUUGGUGGCAUGAAGAUGAGUUCCUUCUUCAAAUUUCAUCACCUAGUUGGUGGCAUGAAAAAGAGUAUGGGUUGUACAUUUCAUCACCUGGUUGGUGGCAUGAAGAUGAGUUCCUUCAUCACCUAGUUGGUGAGAAUAAGGGCAAGGUGCCGAGGCACAUUGUAGCAAGUGUCGAAUGACACAAAGUGUGUUAAACCCUUUCGAAGCAUAAUUGGCUUAUGUAUGGAUGUGUUGGAAUGUAUGACGUUUAUGUAUGAAUGUGUUGGAAUGUAUGAUGUUUAUGUUGAUUAACAUGAGUGAUACUUAUGAAUGUUUUGCUAUUCAUGAAGGGAUCCAUGCUUUCGAUAUGUGAACCAUAUUGGUUGUAACACUUAGUAUCACAUACUUUGUGUCAAAGUAUGCAUGUUGAAGCUCUGAGUUGGAGUAUAGAGGUAGGUCAGUGUAAACCAAGUGGUCCAGUGCUAGGAAUGCAAAAAACUCAUAAAAAGUUAUCUGAAUUCCCUCUUCUUUAAAUAUUUGCCGAAUGACUUAUGUGACAAAAGAUCUCAAGCGGUUGACGGUCAAAACAUUUGUAAUGUGUAUGCCUUCUUAUAAUAGCAUCUCCUUCAGUACCUAGUCCUUCAUGAAAGAGUGAGGCUUGGCCCCUAGCCAUAAUAGUCGAUUGUACGGUCACCCUUGGUUGUCUUGAUACGAACUUUGAUCCCUAUUAUUGUAAUGGGCUUGCUGAGAGUAAAAAUUCUUCCUCUUACCAAGAGACAAAUAUGUUUGGUGACUCAGCGAGUAGCUAAAUGAGGCAAGAGAUAAUGCAAUGGGUUUCUGAAUGGCCAAGAUCUCCUCACUUGGUAGAACUUGACUUCCACUUCCCACUUGUUGAUAGGAGUUACCAUAUGGGGGUUCCCUUGGUAUGUCCUUGCUUCGGCGGAGGCGUGGUUGUAAAAAUGUGCCAUCACUUCAGAGUAAGUCUUCCAAGUGUUGGCAUUGAUCAUGUACUUGAAAAAACAAUCACGUAGGCUUGUCGUGAAGGUUUGAGGGCGGUCUUGUCAUCUGCCUCAGCGCAGCGAGAAUACUCAUGGCUGAAGCGACCGGCAUACUAUCGUACUGACUCAUCCAUCUUCUGGCGAAUAGUGUACAAGUCAUCUGCAGAAUGUAAGCGAUCAGUCUGGAAGAUGUGUUGAGAGACAAACAGUUUCCUUAGUUCCUCAAAUGAGUCUACUGUCUCGAGUAGAAGACGACAAUACAAGUUUAGUGCUCCACAUAGAGGGUGGAAGAGAAGAGAAGACAUCGCUCUUUGUCGGUGUGCAUCCGAUAUGCCGUGGUGGACUCAAAGAGGUUAAGGUGUUCAAUCGGGUCCUCCCUUCCAGUAUAGAGUUGUAAACCAAGCUUUUGUAUUGUCUUCGCUUGAAAGGGGUGUUAAGGAUCCUUCUUAUUAGAGGGCCAGGCCGGGGUCGGUUCCAGUCAGGUAUCUCGGCCUAACGUUCGGCCUUUAACUUGUUUACUUCCUCAAUGAGUUGUAGGACAAGAGUGUCUUGAGUGAAGUCAUGUACCACUAGAAUUGUCUUCCAUAAGUCUCCACUGCCUUUUGGAAGUAGGAAAGUUUGAGCAAGAGUGUGUGGUUUUUCCUUGGACUUUCCGUACUAACUUCUAGGGCUGGUAUGUGAGAAUACCUCUAAGUCCCCUGUACCUUCAUGUUCUUCUAGGACCUGUCGUUCAUUCCCUAGAUUGGCAGCUGGCCUGGGUCGUGGGAGGGGACCGAGUCUUUUAUAAACCCUUGGGUCAUUCAUCUUCAAGCUGAUGUGGAGGGGAUUCUCUCGACGUUGCUUUAGGAAGUUUUGGCAAUCACAAUAAACGACUUUCGAUUCUUCUAACCCUUCUGCAAGGAGGUGUCUUCCUCCACUUCUACUGCUUUGAGUCGAAGCAGCUGGGUUGAGAGAAGUCUUAUGUUAAUCAAUGUUUUAAUGAUUAGCUCGCUCCUCAUCAGGGAUACCCAUGUCGAAUGAAGGUGACCCUCCGUGUUGAGGGGCACCCAAAUGAUGGUUGAUGUCCACACUGGCAACAAGCUCGUGUGUUUGAGUACGCCUACUUUUGUGAAGCGUCUCGAAGAGCUUCUCAUAUUGUUCUUGAAGGAUCUCAUUCUUUAUUGCUAUCUUGUUGUUCUGAGCCUCCAACUCCUUCACUUUAGCUUGAAGAACCACACUAGCAACAAGCUCGUGUGUUUAAGUACGCCUACUUUUGUGAAGCGUCUCGAAGAGCUUCUCAUAUUGUUCUUGAAGAAUCUCAUUCUUUAUUGCUAUCUUGUUGUUCUGAGCCUCAAACUCCUCAACUUUAGCUUGAAGAAUGAGCUUAUUUCGUUGCUUCACACUAGGUGCGAAGGGGGUGUCAUUCUGUGUGCUGUGGCUUCCUUCACUCCCUAUGUUGGAGAGGGAUGCCUGGUCAAAAGAGAGUGUACCAAUGGUGGAAACCAGCCUGACAAAGCAAAAGAGAGUGGGAAUAAGUAUCGUUCCCACUGACGGCGCCAAAUAUUGAUGCACGAAAUAAGUGAAGACUUUGGUACAACAGAAAUGUCAAGUUUAUGACAUUAGCUAGAUUGCUCUGGUCACUAGUGUGGAUAAGUAUGUAAAUGGAUAGAGACAGGGAAGUAAACACAAGAUGUACGUGGUUCACCCAGAUUAGCUACGUCUACGGAGUAGAGGAGUUCUCAUUAAUUGUGAAGGGUUUACACAAGUGCAUAGGUUCAAGCUCUCCUUUAGUGAGUACUAGUGAAUGAUUUUGUACUAAUGACAUUAGGAAAUAUUGUGGGAGAAUGAUCUCCUUUUAUAGAAGAGAGUUUCUAGCUUUGUUCUGAAAUUGACACGUGCCGUGUUGUGAUUGGCUUCUAAUGUUAACACGUGUCGCGCUAUGAUUGGCUUCUGAUGUCGACACGUGUCGCGCUGUGAUUGGCCUCCUGGUUGGAGGGAAACUCUUCUAGGUCCUUGACGGUAUAACGUUGACCGAUGCUCGGUAGUUUCGGGAUUGAUCAAGCAUGGUACAAACAACCUUAUAUAUAAUUUUAUUAUUUUUAGGCUAAAAGUAAAAAAUGGUAAAUUAAUACAUAAUUAGGUUUCUCCUACUCCCCAUGCUUUUUACCCUAUUCGUUCAAAACAAAACAAAACAAAAAAAAAAAAAAAAAAAAAAAAAAAAAAAAAAAAAACCCUUUACCCUAUUCCCUAAAGCUGUGUUGCUUUCCCAAGGAAAGAAAAACUAUGAAUAACCAUCAAAUUAUUUUCUAAUAAAAUUCAACACUAGGUAUGUUCUUCAUCUCUUCAUUUAACUUAUUUCUUGAUUCAAUUGUUCAAUUGUUAGGUUAAUUUUUUUUUUUUUUUUUAGUCCUUGAAUUUGUCUAUUAGGGUUAAAGAUUUUGGGAAUAGUCCAUGUUUCAUGGUUCUUGUAUUUGUAACUAAUAAAAAUGGCUCGACAACAAUAUCAAUUCUGAUAAUAACAAAAUAUUUCAAAUCCAUUACAAAUAUCUACUACACAACUUGAAUUGGUAUCCCCUAACCUUUUUUUCUUUUGGGUACUUGUUAUCAACAAAAGUGACAAUAUUUGUUCUCUUUCUAUUGCUUUAUUGUAUGCAUGUUUUAUUUGUGUAAAAAUUAGUUGGAAAGUAAUUAAUAAACUCAUUUGGAUUAGUACUUCAUUUUCUUACUUUAUGUAGAUUAUUAUAUAAUUUUUGUAGGCAAAAAAAAUAUCAUAUGAUUACAUGCUAAUAAUUUUAGCUAGACCACCCAAGAAAAAUUUUCUGUAGCCACUCAUUGGAUACCAUGUGGCACUCACUCAUUGGCCCAACAUGUAUAUUACCUUAAAAUUCAUCCGAGCUAUUAUAAGAGGAAUUUAAUUUAUUUUCAUCCCAUUUCAAUUUCCUUUUAUUUUAUUCUUUUUUUUAGUUCGCGCGCCAGGCGUGAGGUUUUUUUUUCCACCAACUUCGGGUCCGGGUCAUUACAAAAUGGUCAAUGUGAUUGGUACGUGAUUGCUUGCUUUGGAAUCUAGUUAAGGAAAAUACGGCAGACCUUUAUGGAGAUAGAUCAUAUUAAAUUUUGUGGAAUGUUGUAUUAUUAUUCAUGUUAUUGGUUGAUUAAUGUGACUUGAUGCUAAUUGGAUAAAUGCUUCUCUUGGGUGUACUUGUGAAAUACUAUUCAUUGAACAUAUAAUGUGAUACAUGUGAAAGAUGAAAUGACAUAAUUUUUUGCAAGGCAGGUGAUAAACAGGUUGAGAUUGUGUUAGACGAGGGAUUUAAGAGCUUUAUUUUAUUUUUGUACACCUUGUAAGGGUUUUCGGAUUAUUUGAAUAAGAAAAGUUUAGUUUUUUCGUUUUAUUUUACUUUUACUCUCGCACCGGGCGCGGGGGUAAUAUUUUUCACCGACCCCGGGUUCGAGGUGAGACACAUACCUAUAUCAAUGACCAAUGAUUUUUUUUCAUGUUCGGCUCGUACAUCUUGAUUUAGUUAUAUCCGAUAUAUGCUUUCAUGAAGCUUAGCAACUCGUGUCUUAUUGUGGAAUCGAUAAACAAGUCUACUUGGGGUAAAGGAUAAAGAUCCUUGAGGCAAUCCUUGUUUAAUUCCAUGAAGUCUACACAGAUUUUUCACUUGCCAUUAUUUUUCAACACAAAGACUGCAAUUACAGAGAGAGAAUCCGUAUUAAAUAGAGAGAAUCUCAAAGUGUAUAUAGCAUAAGAUAUUGCUUCAUUUUAUUAUUGUGAUUACUUGUGAUACACGUCAAUCCUUAGAUUGUAGGAAUCUCCAAGAAUAUAGGAAACCAAAGUAAUCCACAAUCGGAUUAGACUCCUUGUCUUGCAGAAGAAGUACGGUCGAUCUCGACAAGGCCUGCAUGCCUUGCCAACCAUUCUAGAGCCCAACAAGGUGUGGUGGCACUGUUAGUCCUUUUAAACAGCUUGAUUUGAUUCUGAGCCAUUGCAUCAUUGACCAAACUUUUGAGGCAUUAGUAUUCCAAUCCGCGUCACUCUGGCAAAAAAAAAAUAAAUCUAUGGUCCCACAACUAAUAUUUAUUACUAGAUUUUCUGAUGAAUUUCACUUUGUGUAAGAAAAGUUAAUAAUAACAAAUAGUCACAAACUGGUAAUUUGAGAACAUCAUAACUUAUGGGCGCAAGCUAACACGCACCGUCAAGUUAGUGCACAAAAUCUUGCCCAACUAACGCAGCGAAAUAUACAAUAAAAGAAUGGACAAGUAUAUGUUAUUACUAACUUUCUUAUUGUACAAUCAUCGCAUGUAACUCUAAUCUAUCUAUAUCUAUACUAAUCAUUAAUAGAACUUUCUUUGUCAACCAAAUUUUUAAAAAUACUAUUAUACCCUUCCAAGUAUUACUGAAAGAAAAUAUCAAAAAAAACAAAUCAUGGGCAUUAAAGUAAUUUCACACAAAAAAUUAGGGUAUUUUUUUCUUUUCCUUGCCCACAUGUUAUCAAAGCUCUCUCUAAUUUAAAUAAAAUAAAAAAUACCCCACUCCAACUUCUCUCUUUCAUAUAUUUUUUUGCAUUUUAAAUCUUUUAUAUUUAUAUACACAUAGUGUGAUGGCUUCAUCUAAUCAUAAUAUUAUUAAGAAAACCUAGCUUGUUAACCAUUAUUGUAAGUGUAUAUUCUAAUUAUACCCCUACCCAUUACAAUAUGAAAACAAAAAUGGGUUAAUUACCCUUGAAGUUUAUCGUGUUUCACAAAGCUCUUAAACUUUGAGAAAUUACACUAAGGGCUGGUUUGGUAUUGUUGUGCUUUGAAAAAAAGCUGCUUCUGCUGUGCUGUGAGAAUAAGCAGCUGUGAAAUAAAGCAGCAAAGUGUUUGGUAAACUUUUUUUUAAAAGUGCUUUUGGAAAAACAAAAAAAAAAAAAAGCAGUAUGAUAGUGUUUGGUAAACUUUUAUGUAAAACAGUUGUGACUGCAUGAAAUGACAAAAAAGGUAUAAUACUAAUGUGCUAUGACAAGCCACGAAGUUGUUUGCUGGCAACCUUUUCACCUUCGCCUUCCUCUCCCUCCUCAUCUUCUCAUUCCGCACGGUCGUCGAAAAUGGGACCCACCUCCUCACCUCCUUCGUCGACUGCGACCCUUCUCUCAAAUCCCUCAUCUCCUGCCUCGACCUCGCUGGAACCGGCAAUACCAACCAUCACUCUCCCAAAUCUCCAGCCAAAUCCCCUUCUCCGAUCUCUCCCCGCCACCGACACUGCCCAUUUCUUCACCUCACCCGCAUCGGAACCUUAGACGAUGAUUUCUUCUCCGGCAAUGACGACGACGCUCGCUCCCUCUUCGCUCCAAUCCUCAUUUUCUCCUCCUCUUCCUCUCACUCCACCUCCAAAUUAGGGUUUAUUGGAACUUACGGGACUAGGGUUUCUGAAAUUGUGCGCUCUAGCCUCACGUUCAAGACUGAGAAAUUCAUCAUUUCUAAUGACAUAGCUAGAGGUAGAGAUGGUGACGGAGAAAGCAAUGAAGGGGAGGAGAAAGGCGGCGAUGAAGAAAUGGACGAUCGGGUCGUCGAUUUGCAAUUCUUGAUCAACGGAUUGGAGCUGGGUCGCCGGGACAUGGCAACGUUGUUCUUCCUCCUGAAAGUGUGAGGAAUCAGGAGAAACUUUGAAAAUAAGCCACUUUUUGAAGCUGCUUUUUGCAGCUUCCACUUUUUAGCUUUUUUUCAUCUGAAACUUCGAAGAAAAAAAAAAACUAGUUUGGGGUGUUUACCAAGCACCAAAAACUCUCCUAGCUUUUUUUCAUACCAACUUUUUUUUAAAUCACCUCAACCCCAAACCAUACCUAACACCCACUAAAGUUUUAAAUUACUUUCACAUCAUUCCAAAAAGAUGAAGGGGUCAUUUGGAAGUGCUUUGAAAAUGGAUGAAUGUGUUUUUGGAACCAAUCCUUAGUAAAAAUGCAAGUGAAUCCUAGAAAAACACUUAAAGUGCUUCCUCCAAAAAGCACACAUAAUGUAGUGCUUCGUGCAAGACGUGCACCUAACUAGUGUUUCUUCCAUGAAGCACUAAAAUGCUUUUAGAACCCAAAAACAUUUUGUUUAAAUCACUUUCAGUUAUUUUAAAAACACAUCCAAACGAAUGCUUCAUAAAUUAAAAAAAAAUCAAAUUUAAGAAUUGCAAUGAAUAUUAAAAUGAAAAGAAGAACGUAUGUAUUGUUGUCCCUAGUUCCCUCAACCCUCAAAAUAUUGCAUACACCAAAAGUCUCUCUAUCUCUCUCCCCCUCUUCAAUUCGUACUUGAGAGGUGAUGUGAAAGUAGAUUGGAAUUUCAUAGUGUAAUUCUCAAACCUAUGAGGGAUUAUAUAAAACACGAUAAACCUUAAGGAAUUUUAGUGAAAUUAACCAAACUAAAAUUAAUAAAAUGGUAUAAAAUUGUAAUGUACAUAUCUUUAAAAGCCAAAAAAAUAAAAAAAAAUAAAAAAUAUGGGAGAUUUAAUGCUUCAGGCUCCUACAUAUAGAAUACUUCGGGCAUUUGAACCACUACAUCUUGAAUUUCGUACUUUUGAACAAAAAGAUAUCUACCUAAAAAUCCUGAUAUUUCCAAAUUCCAGAGCACUAUAUAAAAUCAAAUAUAUACCUUCGUCUUCAUACUAGCGUAGAUUAGUAGUUGACCAUUUUUUUUGGGUAAAACCUAAAUGUCAAUCUCACUCCAACAUUACUAUCAUGAGAAAGUGACAAAGAUGUAACUUUAUUUUAUUUUUUAUUUUUUUAAACAAACGAUAUUAUCAACACUAAGGGAGGGGGGAGUGUCAUAAGCCUCACAAUGACCCAAUGGUGAGUUAUUUUAUUUUAUUUUUUUUACUUUUUAUUUUUUAUUUUUCAUUUUUAGGUAAACUUUUGUUGCUAUCCUAUUCGUUAUUUCUUGACGACAUACAGCCUUUUUAGUGACCCAAUGGUGAGUCAUUUGGCACUCUAUGGAUGGAGCCCUAUCAUGCAGAAAAAUUUGUGGCAGCUUAUCUUCUCUUUUCCUGUGAUGUGCAUGCUUAGAAUUUAUUCUCUGCUCUCAUAGACUCUGAUCAUUUUUCAAAGGUCUAGCACGCACUUGGGUUUCACUACUCAAUGAGUAUCUUAGUCACGAGACUCCUACCACCACAAGAAGAUUGUCAUCAUACAAUUUAUAUAUGUAUAGGCUUCCAGACAAAAAGGAUAUGUAAACAAAUUUUUAUAAGAUGACAAUCUUCUUGUUCAGUAGCAAUACAGUGCUUCCUAACCCUAGUUUUGGGGAGCGGCCUCUAGGUAGAAGCUCAUUGGUGUACCUCUGGGAUGAAAAUUUUGAAAUAGUAAACUACAGUUUACAGACCAAUCAUUCGAAUUGCUCACAAACUCUUUCAAGAAAGAAAAACAAAAACAAAAACAAAAAGUAAAGGCCGUUGUGGGUUGUUAUCGGGUUACCAUUAAAAUCCGUUUGAUUUGAUUUAAACAUAAGAUGGUGGCAAUUGGUUGUGGUUAUGAUGGUGUUAUACUUUAUUAUGGUGAAAUCAAACUAAAAAGCAAAGUCCAUGGUAGGUUCAUGUAGGGUUGAUCUCGACAAAGCCUAUGACUUGUUAGCUAGAUUGCUUUACCUCCAGAAAGGCUAUGUACAGAAACAAUCAACAUAGCUUAAAUAAUCAUGUACCAUGAAUGAAAUGGUGAAUGUUUAUGAUACCUCAGAUGAUUAGAGGAAAAAAAUGGAGGUAUAUAUAGCGUGUGCACUGUAGAGAAAUGUGGUUAAGUUAGAAUUUAUGAGUUAUGAAAGGUAUAUUAGUACUUUCGUUUUGGUCUAAGUUAAUUAUAGUUAGCAAGCUUAUAUUGUUUUUAGAAACAUAUUAGCAAAUAUGAACAAAAAUAUUUGGUUACCAAUCAUAUUCAGCCAGCUCAUGCUCAUGAGCAACAUGGUUAUAGUUUUGAGUAAUGCUAGGUAGAUCAAAUUUUUAGACUACAUUUGUAAAUCAUGUGGUGUGUCACCGAUGGGAAAUAAGCAUGUUAAUCAAUAGUUAAGUAGUAAUUCAAUCAUCAACAAUCAUGUCGUAUAGUUUUCAAAAUAUAGUUUAAUAGAUGGUAUCCCUAGCAUUUUCUUUUUUAAAUCUCGCCCAAUUGAUCUAACUUUCUAAUGAUGUCUUUAAUAAGAUCCCAAUUUGGAGCCAAAGGUUUUCUGCCAUAAAAGUUGUUGACCCUAACAACUACCAUGCCUACGUGGCGCGCAGGUUGAACAACUAAUAAGCUAAUUACGUCAUUCUAGUGAAUGCGGGCGUGCCAACUCCAACCGAGCUCGGUUGGCAAUUUGAAUGAAUGUGGUGGUGGUGUCGAACAGUCUUUUGACUUUUGUAUUCAAGCAAUCAUGACUGAGGAAGGAACAUUUCUCGGCCUCUGGGUUCUAGAGUAUGAAGACAAGUUGUUAGUCACUGUGAAGUUCAGGAUCUUCAACACCAGGUUCAGAUGCCUCAACUAUAUUUGUGAAAAUAUAGGUGGGCAGAAUUGGUAUCAAAUUGUAAGAACACAAGUACUUGAAAGAAAUUAGUGUUUUGAUCGUAAAUGUUGUUCGACUAUUAUAAUGCCGAACUUGAAAUGCAACUGGGAAUAACCAAUCAUAGACAGGCUCAACUUUCAAUGUGCCAAACACUAUGUACCUGGCCAAGAGGGCUAAUGAGUUGACCUCUUUCAAUAAGAAGAAUGAACGCUCCUUACUGAUAGAGACUUAGAUAGAUAACCAGUCAAACUCAAAGCAGUACUAUUACUCCAAAUUAAAGAUGCUCCUUGAUCACCUGAUUCUACGACUCUAGUGUUGUUAGUCCAAACUGAAUAUGUCGCCAGUUGUCAACACAGUGUCGUUAAUCCAAACUGAACAUAUGUUGAUGAAGUUAAGGAAGUUAGUGGUUUCUCAGUAUGUAAACAUUACUAUUCGAAUUGAUGACUAAACUUUAUCUUGUCAAUAAAUAUAACAUUUUAAACACUUACGAAUCACACAAUUAAAAUUGUGUCUUCAAUAAAAAAAGAGCAUCUCUCCAAAAGAAAGUAAUACUCUCCUUUAUUUUAUUUUAUUUUAUUCAUCCAGAUGCUCUCCUCUUUUUCUAAAAAACCGUUGAAUGAAAAGUGACUAUUUAUUUGUGUGAUGCAAAGGGAUGAGUGGCAUUAUAUUAUACAUUAAAAAAAAAAUUCUAAUUUCAAGGACUGAUGGUUGGCAUGGCUUGUCAACCAAGAUUUGAAUCUUGUGGUGCUAAAGAGAGAAAGUCAAACUAAACCUUUCUUUGCUUGCCUUUUUGCAUAUCUUUAUGCGAUUAAGACUAAAUGACCCAUUUGUCUCAAUGUAUGUUUGAAUAAAAAAGAGUUGAUUGCUAAUAUUAUUAUGGAAACUUUGACGAAAACCUUUCGGUACUGUUCAUUUUAACGAAAAAUCAUAUUUUUACAUUAAAAAGUCAAUUCUGGUACUAUUCACUUUACCCUUUAUUUUGUCCUUAUCGUUAAAACUCAAAAUUUUCAAACCAUUUUCAUUAGUUUUUCUUAUUAUAUAUUGUCUUCGUUAAAAGUACAAGAUGUAUUAGUCAUAAAAAAUAUUCUUCUCUUUUGAUUUGAUAGGAUUGAAAGGAAUGAGAACUGAUCAAGAAUAAUCAUAUCGAUAGGUAUUAAACUAUUUUAUAGACAUUUCAUUUAUAAAUAAUAUUACUGAAAAUAAUAAAAGAAUUAACUACCUAUUUAUUCCUUGAAAUUUGCUUACCUUUCGAUUUUCCCCUAAAUUUUUCAAUCGGCAAAUUAAAGACUUCAACUAAUUUUUUUUGUGAUUUCCUCCUAGUGUAAGUUUUUCAUUCAUUCCAUCCAAAUUUAUAUUAAAUGAAAGCAUAUGCACAACAUGUAAGAGUAGUUCAGUCGAUUCAUUCUCUAAAAUAAUUGAAAACCCUAUAUUUCCAAAAUGUCAACAUGUGCAAAUCUGUGUAAUUCUAUAGCUUUUGUGCCUGAAGGUCUAGCAAGGCGACACUUUUUGUACUCAAAGGAGAGUCACGUGAUUUGCAUGCGAUAAGAAUUAAUGUUAAAUUGAUUGCAAUCUGUGGACAACUAACGGUAGGGGGAAAUCGGCAAAAAAAAAUUAGUUUAAGUCCCUGAUUUUUCAAAUAAAAAGUUUAAAAAAGAAAUUAAAGCCAAGUGAAAGUUCACGAGAAAAAUUAACAAUUUACUCAUGAAAAUGCAAAACUUAAAAGCUAAAGGGCAUUACCACUUCGUCCAAAAAGAAGGAAUCUGGAUCUUCAUCAGAUUCUCUCUGUGAGGAUCCCUGAGAUCUGUGAAUCGGGUUCAUUCAUUGUACAUCGUGUAAUUAGAAAUUAUUUUAAAUAUUUUUAUUUAAAAUUAAACAUAAAUAGUACUGAACAAAAAUUGAUGACAUGAUAUAUGAUGAAUGAACACGAUUCAUGAAUCUCUAUGAUUUUCAUCAAAAGAAUCCGGAGAUGAUCCUGUUGGAAAAAGAAGGGUGCACCACUUCAAAAGCAUCAAAAUCCAACAUGCGACAUGAAAAUUGGAAUCAGGGUGUCCCACUUGACAUGCUUAGCCAAAAGAAGGGUGCACCACUUCAAAAGCAUUGGAAUUCAAAAAAGCAUCAAAAUCCAACAUACAUGGAAAUUGGAUUCACAUGCUUAGUCAAAACAUGCGCCUGAAAUUAAGUGAUUUUUUUUUUCUGAACUAAUGAUAUUAUAUAGACAAAGUAGAUGGAGAUGGGUUUAGUUUUACAAUAGAUUAGCAAUAAAAUGGUUCAAAUUCACUUUUAGCAAGUAUUGAAUCUAAGACCUCUAACUUACUAAUGAAGAGGAAUAUCAUUAAAUUGUUAUACUAAGUGGUAAUUUUUUGUUAAUUUGAAAUUAAACAAACCGUAAAAGUCUAAGGCCUCGUUUGUUAAAUAGAAUAAGUAAUGAACUAAGUUAAGGAUAAUUAGAUAAGAGAUAAUCCUACCAUAAUCUCAUCAUCAUGUUUGUUUUUGAUAGCCAAUCAAACCGCUUCGAACUUGCCACUUCAAACCCAAGAUUUGACGCUUAAGACACAUCAUAGUGCAAGGGCAAUAAUGUUAAUUGAAGGUUGAGAAAUGCUACUGAAACUCUCUCAAAGUAUGGCUCUUUAUGAAUAUUUUAUUAUAGUUUAACAUCAAUUUAUGUGUCGACUUCGAAUUGUUGUUUUUUUCCUCGAACCUACAGUUGUUUGCGUCACCUAGUCUGUCUAAGCGAUCUCCGUCAUGUGAGUCUUGCGCACUACGUUAGCCUCCUCUCCAGGAAAAUUCCACUUUGACAUUUCAUUCCCUCUUUCUCUCUCUGCACUCUCGUACUUCCACUCCACCCCCCCCACAAAAAUAUAUAACAACACACAAAAAUCUUCCUCCAAUAACAAAACUCAAACCCCUUUUCCCAGAAUUUCAGAACCCCUGAGAAAAAAGCUCCAGAAAUCAUGGAGUUUUUUGGUUCAUCAACCACGGUACUCUCUCAACCUUCUUCUCACACUACUCAUCACUGAUGCAUCCAGUUACCGAUUUUCUGCUCAAACCGGUUUUUAUACAUGGGUUUUCUGGUUCAUUACACAUAGUGUUGGUAUUUGUGUUGUUCUUCUCUUGGUUGUGGAGGAAAUUCAAGGGGGGUGAUGGAGGAGGAGGAGAGGCUCCGAAACAGAGGUUUUCGAAUAGCCGAAAUUCGUACUACAAGCAGGCUUUAAUUUGUACUUUCUGUGUUUCUGGGUUUAGUCUGGUUUUUUGUUUAUUGAACUACUUUUGUUGGUACAAAAAUGGUUGGUCUGAUGAAAAAGUAGUGACCCUUUUGGAUUUAGCUGUUAGAACACUCUCUUGGGGUGCAGUUUGUGUUUAUUUGCAUACCCAAUUCUCCAAUUCUGAUGAAUCCAUUAAGUUCCCAAACUUUUUGAGAGUUUGGUGGGGUUUCUAUUUCUCUAUUUCUUGCUAUUCCCUUGUCAUUGACAUUGUUCUUCACAAGGAUCGUGUUUCGUUGCCUGUUAAAUCUUUGAUUUUCGAUGGUGUCUGUGUUGUUUCGGGUUUGUUUUUCAUGUAUGUGGGGUUUUUAGGGAAGAAAGAGGACAGAGAUUCUGUUCUUGAAGAACCCUUUUUAAACGGUAAUCGUAGUACUAGUGUAGGUAAUGAUGGAGAGUCAAAUAAGUCGAGAGGGGGAACAAAUGUUAACCCUUAUUCGAACGCUGGAAUUUUCAGCAUUCUUACUUUUGCUUGGAUGGGUCCUCUAAUUGCGGCUGGCAAUAAGAAGGCGUUAGACCUUGAGGAUGUUCCUGAACUAGAUAAGGUUGACAGUGUAUUUGGGUCCUAUCCUCGUUUUAAAAGUAAGCUCGAUGUGAGGUGUGGUUGGAACGGCAGAGUUACCACACUUCAUCUGGUGAAGGCACUAAUCUUCUCAUCCUGGAAAGAGAUUCUCAUGACUGCUUCAUUUGGGAUUUUUUACACAUUGGCUUCUUAUGUCGCUCCAUAUUUGAUCGACACACUAGUUCAAUACCUCUACGGGCGACGGCAGUUCAAAAAUGAAGGCUAUGUUUUGGUUUCUACAUUUUUGUUUGCAAAGCUCGUGGAAUGCCUCACUCAAAGGCACUGGUUCUUUAAGACGCAACAGGUAGGAGUAAGAAUCCGUGCAGUACUUGUUACAGCCAUCUAUAACAAGGGUUUGACCUUGUCAUGCCAGUCCAAGCAGGGCCACACAAGCGGUGAGAUUAUCAAUUUUAUGACUGUCGACGCUGAGAGGAUCAGUGACUUCACUUGGUAUAUGCACGAACCAUGGAUGAUCCUUGUACAAGUUGGCUUGGCCCUAGUGAUUUUGUACAUAAAUCUUGGUCUUGCGGCUAUCGCAACAUUGAUUGCAACGAUAAUUGUUAUGUUGGCAAAUGUUCCUUUGGGGUCCUUGCAGGAGAAGUUUCAAGAGAAGUUAAUGAAGUCAAAAGAUAAAAGGAUGAAGGCAACAUCUGAGAUCUUGAGGAACAUGAGAAUUCUCAAGCUUCAAGCAUGGGAGAUGAAGUUUUUGUCUAAAAUUAAUGAGCUCCGGAAGUCAGAGGCAGGAUGGUUACGAAAGUUCGUUUACACUUGGGCCAUGACCUCAUUUGUCUUCUGGGGCACCCCCAUAUUUGUGUCCGUGGUCACUUUUGUUGCUUGCAUGCUUUUGGGAAUCCCACUUGAAUCUGGGAAGAUCUUAUCUGCACUUGCAACGUUCAGAAUUCUUCAACAGCCUAUUGACAGUCUUCCGGACACAAUUUCGAUGAUAGCACAAACUAAGGUAUCUCUUGAUAGAAUUGCAUCAUUCCUUUGUCUUGAUGACUUGCAGCCAGAUGUUAUAGAGAACAUCCCAAGAGGUAGUUCUGAUACAGCAGUUGAGAUAGUCGAUGGGAAUUUCUCUUGGGAUUUAUCUUCCCCUAAUCCAACAUUGAAGGAUAUAAAUUUCAAAGUGAGCCGUGGUAUGAGAGUUGCUGUUUGUGGUACUGUUGGCUCAGGCAAGUCGAGCUUACUUUCUUGCAUUCUGGGAGAAGUUCCGAAGAUAUCUGGGACUCUUAAGUUGUGUGGGACCAAGGCCUAUGUUUCUCAAUCACCAUGGAUACAGAGUGGAAAGAUAGAAGAAAACAUAUUGUUUGGUAAACAGAUGGACAAAGAAGGUUAUGACAGGGUUCUAGAAGCAUGUUCGUUAAAGAAGGAC
rnacentral:lncRNA from 1 species